GCUAACCUGGCAAGGUGGUUGGAAAGUCAUGGAUUGAGGAUUGUGACUUUGAUGAAUUACAGCAGCCCACCUUCCAUGAGUUUGGCGAAGAGGUAGUCGAAGACCAUCUGCACUAGCCCCGCCCUAGCACUGCUCUCGCCUGCCAUGGUGUAGGACUUGCCUGACCCACUCUCCCCCGUCACCAGCAGACAUACGUUGAAGCCUGACAUCAGCAUCUCCAGCAGCAGCUCUACCGUGUUCCGGAAGAUGUCAUACGUGGUAGAAUCCCUCAUGAAAAGGUUCUGGAAACUAGAAAAUUGAAACCAUCUUUUCAGCUUUGCUAAAAGUUGAUAUCUAUCUACAUAAAGCAGUUUCUAGAAAUCCUUCCAAACUAUUUUUGACACUUUUAAAGAAAUUAUAAUAUAGUGAAAGAAGUGACAUGAGAAGAAGGUUUUACGCAACGCACAAACAUGCCUCCAGUCUGCAAAAAAUUAGAUAAUAGAUGCUGAAAACCCCAAAUACUGCAUCCGGAGAGACGCACAAAAAUACCUACAGCACAUCAAGAUUAGUUAUCUGUGUGUGUUAUUUCACCCAUCAGUCAUGACCAUUGUCCACAUGAUCACUGAUUCAUUUCAGGCUCUGAAGUCAUUAUCUGAACGUACCGUACACAACAUCAUUUCAAUACUUGACAGGACCCUCAUAUUACCGACAAGGAACUGUAAAAUGUAUUGAUGGGGGUCCCUGGACCAGCACUUUUGUAAGUCAUGGUAAAACACUGCAUGAGACUUAUUUCUGGUCAAUUCUAUACAUUUGUGCAUAACCAAUGCACAUUUGUGAUGCGUAAACCCUGGGCGGCUCUAAACUUUUUAUCUCAAUAUAGGGGAGGGUCAGGGUUUAAUAACACAGUAACACAGACAGGUCUUUGUCUGCAUUUCAGUUAUUUUACAGUGAUAUUGGUCCCAUGAGGUAUGGGGUUCAGAAGGUGGGGUUUCCCCGACCCAAGAAUCCCCAUUUCCAUCCCUAACUAACACCAAUAACCAUUGCCAUUAUAAUGAAAGGAUAAAAUUGAAAAGAAACACAUUAAUCUUAAUACUGGACACCUUACAUUGAUAUCAACAUGAAAGAAACUUAUGUAAAAAAUGCAUAGUUUUUAAAAAAGGUAAGUAUUUACUUGAAGAAAUGUCCUCCUGGUGCUGUCAACCUCUGUGUUCCUUCAACUGAUACGUUUUCCUUCCCCUCCCCUGGGACAAGGGGACGGAUGCGCCCACUGACUUCAAUGUUCAUGGCUCCCUGUAAUGUUGAAACUGGGAUGAGAAGAAAAUGACUGUCAUCAUAUAGCAAAAUGUUAAUGUCUACAGUAGUUGGCCAUAAGUUAGUCAUCAUUAUUGAAAUUCCCAUAGACCUGCAUGUCAUUUAAAUCGUGCAAGAAGAAUUUUCAUUAUUCAACCACUGUAGCUGCUUAGUACAUAAUUCUAUGUUUUUGUAAUUGUUAAAGUAUUUGUACUGGUGUCAGUUAAUUAAUUUGUCCUUACAUCGUUUGUUCACAAGCUCUUAAGUAAGUAAAAUGAUUUAAAAUAAAAGGUAUAAAAUUAACAGUAUUAUUGUUGUCCCACGGUUGCAAAAGAUAUUAUCAUUUGAUAACACCUCCAGUACGUGUCACAUACCGAUAAUAGAAAAAAGGCAAACGGUACUGCUGAUACUCAUAUGUUGGGUGAGUUUGCGUACAGAAACGAAAAAAAGAUUUCGGUAAUUUGGUAAUAGAAAUAUAGUCUAUCUACAUAGUUAUGCGCUUUCUAAUCGAAAUGUCAGAUUUGUAAAAUAUUUUCUUAUCAGAAACAAUAUUAAUAAUUCAGAUCUGUGUUUUUGUUUUUGCAUCGUUUAUAGAUACAUUGAAAUGUAACAGAUACCUUGAAAUAAAGAAACCACACUGAGCAAA
rnacentral:lncRNA from 1 species